UACGUAGGGUGCAAGCGUUGUCCGGAAUUAUUGGGCGUAAAGAGCUCGUAGGCGGUCUGUCGCGUCGGCUGUGAAAACUCGGGGCUCAACCCCGAGCCUGCAGUCGAUACGGGCAGACUAGAGUGCGGUAGGGGAGACUGGAAUUCCUGGUGUAGCGGUGAAAUGCGCAGAUAUCAGGAGGAACACCGGUGGCGAAGGCGGCGACCUGGACGGACACUGACGCUGAGACGCGAAAGCGUGGGGGGCAAACAGG
rnacentral:rRNA from 1 species